ACAUGCAUACAACAUAGAGUUAAUGAACCAAAUCCCAUUAGAACUCCGCAAUUAAGCGCAUUCGAGAUAGAGUAGUACUGGGAUGGGUGAUCUCCUGGGAAGUCCUAGUAUUUUACAUGAC
rnacentral:rRNA from 1 species